GGGAGUGGUGGAGCUGGGGUCAAAGCCAGGUCUCUGUGACUCCAGGACCGCUGAGUCCCACAGCUCCAUGUAGUUCCCUUUAAAGCCCCUCUCAGACUCCAUGACCUGUCAUCACUCCCUCAACCCUGAGCCUCUUGAAAGCAGGGAGUAUUAGCACUUGGUCAUCCUGCACUCCCAGAAUCUAGUAUGGUCUAUGAAUGAAUGAACGAAUGAAUGAAUGAAUGAAUGAAUGAAAUCUGAGAAGUCUAACUUCUCUUACGUGGACAGAAAAGCUGAGGGCAACCUCCCUCCAUUCCAAGAUGUCUCAAGUCCCUGAACACAUGGCUCUGCGUGUGCUUCUUUGGGUGUGACUUCAGCAAGGAAAUCAGUAAGAAUUAAGAACCCUUGAAAAGUGCUCACCACGUACCCAGCACUGUUCUGUGCACAUAGGAACCCACUUAUCCCCGAUGAAGUGGGUGCUGUUAUUAUUUCCUCCACAUCUCAGGAGCCAAGUGAGGCAGGGAUGUUAGGUCACUUGACCAAGGACACCGAGUAACUGCAGAUCAAAGGUCAGUGCAGUCGUGGGACUCCAUAUACCUGCUCCUAACCCACAUGCUGUGCUUUCAAGGUCAAACAGAAACAUCUAUGGUCCCGGUAAGGGUGCCACCCCUGGUCCACCAGACACAGACAUCAAAUAGCCUUACCUUGGUGAGAUUCAAGGCUGUCUGCUCCGAGAGGGACUUACUGGCAAACAGCCCAAGCCGAAGAACAUCAGCAAGGGGGGCCAAGGAAGAUGCGUCUGCUCACCAUGGGGCUUGCUGUAGAUGUCAUGAAGAGGCUUGGCAGCGUUGAAGACAAUAAAGCAUGCUUUCCUGGAAGAAACAAUGCUGGAUUAAGGACUAAAACAUGGUCACUUUUUUCACCACAAGGAAGACCUGUCCUUAUUAAAAAUGUACUGGCUUCAGACACAUGGAAGAGAGUCUGAGGAUGUUUUGAGUAGGAAUGUUGCUGGAGAUAAAUUAUGGGCUAAGAAAUCAGCUGACUGAGUCGACCGUAUAGAUUUUCCCAGGUCACAUUACUUUUCCAUUUGUAUUCUCAAUCGCUUUUGAACACCCUUCAUGCAAGUCAGCAUACCAAAAGAUGAUUUUAUACAAGGAUUACCGAUUUCAAAUAAAUAAAGAACCAAAAGAAAUAGAUUUCAAUUGCAUCCAGACUGGUUGGAGAUAAAAUGAGGAGUGCUACAACUCGCUGGGCCAGCACAGACAGGAGCCCUGGGAGCGCUCUCCUCUGAGAUCGAUGAAGUGAGAAUAGGCCCCAGUAAAGCAGUGGAGAAAACUGUCUUCCUGAGCCCCCUCUAGCCCAAGGAUUCCAGCUAUUCUUUGCACUCAGCCCCCAUGGGGUUAAUGAUGAAUUAUUACAAACAAUGAAGACGUUUAAGGCUGAAGACUAAGCCAUGAUUUGCUGUUCUCUGCCUGUUCACCCCCAACUAUUUCUAAUCCCACUAUUUCCUGAUGAGAACACACACUUAACCAGAUAUUCUACUUCAUUUUUGGAAAAUCUCUUGAAGUUGCUUUGGAUGAGCUGAGGAAAUGACAUCAUCACCCCUUGCUGGCUGCAGGAGUGACUGAGCCCUUGGGUUUGGGUGGGGUUGGGCUGCUGGUGAACGCAGAAGGUGUGGCACUGCCGAGAGAACUGGACCCCAGAACCGCUCUGUUCUCCAAGUCAGAGUGACAUUCACUCCUCAGGUGCCAAUGAGUUACAGAGGAGUCAUGUCAAACUCACAUUUAACUCGUGUGUGUCCACAAAGCAGAGUGAGGGAUAGUGAAAAUCGGUCCAGCGAUCCUGCCAACGCUUGCAAGCGAUGACCACGGAGACUGGAGUGAAAAUGAGAAUCUGCCAGGUCCUCAGUCGGUCCCAGUUCCCACGUGUUGAGUGUGUUUCCAGUGCCCAAAGGUACACGCUUUCCGAUUACACAUAUCUGAACAUAACCUUCUUUCUCCUCUACAGAAAGAGCUGCUGUCCAUUCCAGUGGUAGGGGAGAGGGGACACCUGGCCAGGGUGACAGACGGUCAGCACUGUGCCUUUGUAUCAGGAAAGGCCACCACACCUGGACGGACCGGUCAGCAAAUGGUGCCAGCUCUGGCUCAUGAGAUUAGAGAAGGUGUCACCUCUGCCCAGGUCACUCAGAAAAAAGCCCCCUCUGGGCACCUACAGCCCCAGCACAGCUUCAAAUGCAGACAGGUCUUCAUGUAAAGAAAGACUUCUACCUACUUGUGUGGCCAUGUCCCCACCGAGGCCCGGCCUGGCUGGGAGCAGGCUGGAUUUCAGUUCCAGUUGUCACUCUGCAUGGCUGCCCUGAACUCGGCUGUGUCAGACUCACUGAGCAGUGGUACACGGGGCCCCACACAGGCCUUCCAGGGACUUCAAGAGCCAUUCUCCUAUACAUGCUUUACGUCAUAUGCCUUGUCUUCAGACCAGGUCACCAGGUGCAAUGGGAUUCUGGUCGAUCCAGUUCUGGUUCAGUUCUGGUUCUGGCGAUGAGGGUUUGCUCUCACAAGAACAAGAACCAGAAACAAGGGCACCUCUUUCCAGUGUUACUAAAACAAGUAAACUGUCAGGAGGGCAGGCUUUGUUUGAAGCUUUUCAUAACAUAAAUACAAGUGAUAUCUUGGUUUCAAACUGACAACUCUAAACCCUAGGCAAUAAAAUGCAGUAGAUUGGUACAUUUUUUUCUUCUGAAGGAUGCUAUCAUUUGCCCUCUGUCAGUGCUAGGAGAGGGAGUGCAUUCCGUUUUCCUGGAUGGAAGCUGGAAGAUGUAAAUGUCGAAGGCUGUAGUGGACACAGGCUGUUUUGCCUGCACAGCAUCUGUUCCUUCUGAGACCAGCAUCCCUGAUUGUCCCCUGGGAGUCCCCUCUCCUCCACAUGUUCUGGACAAGGCUGACCUCACUGUCAUUUCAGGGGGGCUGGGGAUGGGGGACUAUGACCCAGACCUAAGCCAGUCAGCAUAUUCUGCACUCCCAGACACAGAAAAUGACUCAUGGAAGGUGCAUGGAUAAAUGUGAGCCAAUGUGAGUCCUGCCCAGCCCCAGCAUGGGAAGUCAUAAGAGAAAGAAGCUCCCUCUUUUCCACAGAGGCUGCUGAGGGCAGAGGAUGCAACACUAGAAGCAUGACAGCCACCUUGGCACCAGGAGGAGGCUAACAAAAGAGGGCAGGGUCAAACGCAGAGAUUCCCACUGACAUCAUGUGAGCACCUGGACCAAACCAGUUCUGAAGCAGUUUCCCCUAGAGCUUCCAUUGCAAGAGAUGAAAAAGAAACACAUGGCUUUCUUGGCUAAAGUUAUCUUGAAUUGGGUUUUCUGUCAUACAAUCAGUAGGGUCCUAACAACUGAGGGACUCAACGUCAGAAGGGGAACGAGGGCAGGCAGCGUCUGGAACUCAGGCCUUUCUCUCCUGGUCCUGACAUCCGCUGUGCUGGGUCCCAGUGAAGCAGCAGCCACAUGUUUGUGAGUGCCUACAUGGGGUCUGUCAUUUUUUAGCAGAUUAUUUUAUGUGGAAAUAAAGAAACCCAUUGGGG